GACGAACGCUGGCGGCGUGCCUAAUACAUGCAAGUAGAACGCUGAAGGAGGAGCUUGCUUCUCUGGAUGAGUUGCGAACGGGUGAGUAACGCGUAGGUAACCUGCCUGGUAGCGGGGGAUAACUAUUGGAAACGAUAGCUAAUACCGCAUAAGAGUAGAUGUUGCAUGACAUUUGCUUAAAAGGUGCAAUUGCAUCACUACCAGAUGGACCUGCGUUGUCUUAGCUAGUUGGUGGGGUAACGGCUUACCAAGGCGACGAUACAUAGCCGACCUGAGAGGGUGAACGGCCACACUGGGACUGGGACACGGCCCAGACUCCUACGGGAGGCAGCAGUAGGGAAUCUUCGGCAAUGGACGGAAGUCUGACCGAGCAACGCCGCGUGAGUGAAGAAGGUUUUCGGAUCGUAAAGCUCUGUUGUAAGAGAAGAACGAGUGUGAGAGUGGAAAGUUCACACUGUGACGGUAUCUUACCAGAAAGGGACGGCUAACUACGUG
rnacentral:rRNA from 1 species